AGUCGACGAUGAAUCUUCUAGCUUGCUAGAAGUGGAUUAGUGGCGCACGGGUGAGUAAUGCAUAGGUUAUGUGCCCUUUAGUCUGGGAUAGCCACUGGAAACGGUGAUUAAUACUGGAUACUCCCUACGGGGGAAAGUUUUUCGCUAAAGGAUCAGCCUAUGUCCUAUCAGCUUGUUGGUGAGGUAAUGGCUCACCAAGGCUAUGACGGGUAUCCGGCCUGAGAGGGUGAUCGGACACACUGGAACUGAGACACGGUCCAGACUCCUACGGGAGGCAGCAGUAGGGAAUAUUGCUCAAUGGGGGAAACCCUGAAGCAGCAACGCCGCGUGGAGGAUGAAGGUUUUAGGAUUGUAAACUCCUUUUGUUAGAGAAGAUUAUGACGGUAUCUAACGAAUAAGCACCGGCUAACUCCGUGCCAGCAGCCGCGGUAAUACGGAGGGUGCAAGCGUUACUCGGAAUCACUGGGCGUAAAGAGUGCGUAGGCGGGGUAAUAAGUCAGAUGUGAAAUCCUGUAGCUUAACUACAGAACUGCAUUUGAAACUGUUACUCUGGAGUGUGGGAGAGGUAGGUGGAAUUCUUGGUGUAGGGGUAAAAUCCGUAGAGAUCAAGAGGAAUACUCAUUGCGAAGGCGACCUGCUGGAACACUACUGACGCUGAUGCACGAAAGCGUGGGGAGCAAACAGGAUUAGAUACCCUGGUAGUCCACGCCCUAAACGAUGGAUGCUAGUUGUUGCCUUGCUUGUCAGGGCAGUAAUGCAGCUAACGCAUUAAGCAUCCCGCCUGGGGAGUACGGUCGCAAGAUUAAAACUCAAAGGAAUAGACGGGGACCCGCACAAGCGGUGGAGCAUGUGGUUUAAUUCGAAGAUACGCGAAGAACCUUACCUAGGCUUGA
rnacentral:rRNA from 1 species